UUAGAAGAGUGCAUUCAAGAUGAAGUCAAUAGAGUUAUCAUGAUGGUAAGUUAAGAAGUUCAAUAUUCUGCCCUCUUGGAACCAGCCAUGAAGGUAGGAUAUUAGCUUUUUCAGCCUAGAUCAUUAAACUCUUUCAAAAAUGGGCUGUCAUGCUGUUAAUUACCCUAGUAACUAAAAGGCCGUGUGUAAUUUCCUUUUUUCUCAGGAACAAGUUCAAAGUGAUGUGGCUCGCUAAUUUCUAUCUUACCUGAUAAUGCCAGGCUUUUCAUGGAGCCUACCAGACUAUGUACAGAAAAAGAAGAGACAUCAACUGUCUUGAUUUUUUUUUUUUUUAUUCUACUUCAGUGACUUGGAGUGGAUGUAAACAUAUCAUUGCUGAACUGCCCUGUACCACAGCUUUCACUGUAAGGCCACAAUAGCACUGUGAAACAAUACAACUACUUUUUGUUUGAAGGAUCUUUAGGAAACUGUUUAAUAUAUGCACACGUAUCUUGCUACUUUAUGCCAUGGUAACAUAGAGUUUACAUCUUUAUCAACCGUGCAAGAGAAGGAUUUGUCAUCUCUGGGCCAAGCCUCCAUCUGCCUCAUGGUGUCGCAGACUUCUCCACUGUGUACCACCCUAACAGCACUAAGAUUUUGUUCAUUCAGUAAGAUGUUUGCAGAGUUCAAGGCCUAUAAGAUACUUGGGAAAAAGAAGAAAAUAGCCUCUGGAAGCUCAGAAGCCAGUGAUGUUUGAUCACUGUUUUCCUGUCCUGACGGGAAAACAUGGGGAAAAUAUGUUAAGAUGCACAUACAAUCAAAAGGCUAAUUCAAGGAUUUGGAGGAGGUUUUUGCUCUCUCAUAGUUAUCCUUUUUAUUUAAAUAAUACAAAAUAGUCACUAGAUGUCUCCACUUCACCACAAAAUAUAUUACGAUAUAUUCCAUUUAAAGCGAGGAAAUGCUUGUAUGCUUAUACAGCCUUUUAAAAAAUUAUUAUUUCUACUAAAUAACCUAAUGGAGAUAAUUAGAGUGUGAAGGAUAAAAACUUGGAAAAUAAAAAGGCAAAUAAGAUGGAUAUUGGCUACAAAUUCACGAACCACAGAAGUCUUAGAGGCGGGCAUUUUCUAACUGAUAAAAGCAGAGUAAAGAAUUAUAGAGAUACUGAGAUACAAGUGCACACCUGUAACUGGCAUAUCACCUU
rnacentral:lncRNA from 1 species